GGAAAACUGGAAAUCGAUCAUAUGAAAACUCCUUUAAUAUAGCACCAUCUUGUGGCACAUUUCUCACUAAAUGUCCUACAUAUAAUGUUACAAGUUAUUGAAAUUACAGGCUGCUGAAUUUUCAUUGGUUGUGGGAAACCAAAUGUGUUCAUGUAGUGCAUGUAAAUUCUUGCUGCAAAAAACCCCCCAAAAAAACUAGUGUGAAUGUGAAUUUAUUUCAUUUUGGAAAUCCCUGUUAUUAUACCGUUCUUCCAUUCAGUUUGGUCAGUGCUUGAUUAUGAAUUCAAACUUUUGA